CCUGGUAUGUUAAGUCUUACAGACGGUGUUACAGCAGUUGAUAUAUGGAAGAUGACCCUCCAGAUUAUGACUUGUUGCAAGAGUUUAGAAGUUAGGCUGGUUGAGGGUAUGGCUGUGCCCUUAACUGUAAUGACAAAGAUACUUGAAGCACUCAGUCUGCCAUAGUCAGAUGAACUUUUU
rnacentral:lncRNA from 1 species